UGAACGCUGGCGGCGUGCCUAACACAUGCAAGUCGAACGGAGUUAAGACGCUGAUGAUGGAGAUGCUUGCAUCAAAAGAAUCUUGUUUAACUUAGUGGCGGACGGGUGAGUAACGUGUGGAUAACCUGGCCCAUACAGGGGGAUAGCAGCUGGAAACGGCUGAUAAUACCGCAUAAGCGCACAAUAUCGCAUGGUAAAGUGUGAAAAAGAUUUAUCGGUAUGGGAUGGAUCCGCAUCUGAUUAGCCAGUUGGCGGGGUAAAGGCCCACCAAAGCGACGAUCAGUAGCCGGCCUGAGAGGGCGGACGGCCACAUUGGGACUGAGACACGGCCCAGACUCCUACGGGAGGCAGCAGUGGGGGAUAUUGCACAAUGGGGGGAACCCUGAUGCAGCGACGCCGCGUGGGUGAAGAAGUAUUUCGGUAUGUAAAGCCCUAUCAGCAGGGACGAUAAUGACGGUACCUGAGUAAGAAGCCCCGGCUAACUACGUGCCAGCCGCGGC
rnacentral:rRNA from 1 species